UACGGAGGGUGCGAGCGUUGUCCGGAAUCAUUGGGCGUAAAGGGCGCGUAGGUGGCCCGGUCAGCGUGCGGUGAAAGCUCGGGGCUCAACCCCGAGUCGGCCGUGCGAACUGCUGGGCUUGAGCACUGUAGAGGCAGGCGGAAUUCCGGGUGUAGCGGUGGAAUGCGUAGAGAUCCGGAAGAACACCGGUGGCGAAGGCGGCCUGCUGGGCAGUGGCUGACGCUGAGGCGCGAAAGCGUGGGGAGCAAACAGG
rnacentral:rRNA from 1 species